UUACGGCCUUUCACGCACAUAUUCACACCCAAAAUGUGCUUCAUCUUCUCUCUCCUCAAAUCCCAAAACCUAAUCAUCUUCUUCCUCCAUACUUUCCUACUCCUAUUGUGUUUUCUCACCUAUCUGCUACAAUCAAACAAAUUCUCUACAUAAUACAAAUGCUUAUCUAUUUUAGACAGGUUAUGCUAACCAAGGUGAAGCCACAACACCGUUAAAUUAAAAUUAAAAGACGAAACGUUAUGAACUAGCGAGUUCUAAUGUUCAAUAAAUUUAGUUUUUCAUUUUAACAUAUAUUUUGUUGUAAAUUUUACUCGGGUAGUUAAGUUUUUUAAUCUAUUAGAUCUAUGUAUGUAUACUCUCCUUGUAUAUCUGGUAUUUUGUUCUUUAUAUACCAUAAACUAUCUCACUUUUUUUUUUUGCAAAUAAACUAUCUCAAUUUUUAGUCAUCAACAGAUUUUGUUAAUUCUCUGUUUUUUUUUUUUUUUUUUUGUUCCUUUCUUUGUUUAGCCCAUAAAAGUCUUCAUGAACUAGAUCUAUGAAACAGUGAGACAAUGAAGUUUGGAUAUUGGAUAUCCGCCAUACCCGAUCCGAAAACUUUCGGAUAUCGGAUAUCAAAUAUCCGAAAAUGUUCGGAUCGGAUACGGAUAUGAAAUAUCAAAAUUUUCAGAUACGGAUAUCCGAUCCGAAGUCGGAUUUUGGAUCGGAUAUCCGACCCGUGCUCAGCCCUACUAAUACCGAAAGGGGACUAAUAAACAAGAACGGAGGGAGUAUAUUAUUUGAUAAAAUUAGAAAAGCUGAAAUGUAGGAUAAAGAGCAAUGAGAUCAUACAAAAAGGAAAGUUACAACUUACAAGAAUUUAAAGUCUACGAGGAUGAUACAUUAUGUUUUAAGAGAGAAUAUUAGUACCUAGAAAUAAUAGUUCGAAGGAAAAUUAAACACAAACAAAUUACUAAGACGGUUGCUAUACGUAAUCCUUACUUACUUUAACGCAUCCCAGUAAAAAACCAAAAAUACCCUUUAGUCUUUUUUCCCUCUCCCCCGCAACCUUAAUCUCUCUGAAACCGAAACACUCUCAAACUCCCCGUACUUCUGGUUUCCUGUUUCGUGGAUUAAAGCACAAGAAAAUUGAAGAACGACAAAGAGGCGUCUCCAACACCAAUCAAUCUCAUCAAGAAUCAAUCUCAUCAAGAAUCAAUCUCAUCGUUUUCAUGCUCAAAAUUAGGAAUUAGGUUUUCAUAUUCAUUAAUUAGCAUAAUUUAUUUCAUAAUUUGAAUUAGGAAAUUAGAAAUUCGAAUUAGGAAUUCGAAUUGGGAAUUAGGUUCCAAAGCAUUGGUUGAAUUAGGAAUUUGAAUUAUAUACUUGAAUUAGGAAUUCUAAUCCUAUGCAUAUGUUGAAUUAGGAAUUCGAAUUACAUAUGUUGAAUUAGGAAUUCGAAUUAUAUUCAUAUGGGUAUUGUACCAAAAAUCUUUGUGAAUUCCUCAAAAAAAAAAAAGUUCGAAUUUUGAUGGUUAUUGAUAGAUUACAAAUUUAUUUCGUUAUUUCGGGUAUUUGCUUGAUAGUAUGAGUUAUAUAUUUUUCUUCUUCUUGAGUUAUAUUGUUUCAUAUAUUCGGUUCAAAAAAGAUGAAGUUGUUUCUUGUUGUUUAGGUGGAAUUGACUACAAAUUUUGUAAAGUUGGGGUGUAAUAGGCUAGUAUGCUUUGUGUAGUUAGGACAAAAUAGUACAUCUAAUUUCAUAGAUUAUGUCUAAAGUAGAUAAUACUAUUUCAUAUGAUGUAUCCGAAAUAGGUUAGGUAACUUCAUAUGCUUCAUCUGAAUUAGACAAUCAAACAUCUGAUUUCAUGUGUUAUCUUUUUGUUUGCUUGUUAAGUAUAAUCUAAUUAAAGGAGCUACUAGCCUUACUGUUGUAUAACCUUCUAGCGAGUUUUGUUAUCAUCAGCUUUGAUCGAGGAACCUCCAGGGUGGAGGGAUAUUAGUAUCGUGUUGCUUAAUAAAAACACACUUCCAAAAAUGUAUGUAAAGGAGCUACAUAAGACUAAUCUUUCUAUCUUAAUAGGUAGUAGUAGUAGUAGUAGUAGUAGUAGUAGUAGUAUUAGUAGUAGUAGUAGUAGUAGUAGGCAGUAAAGCAAAAACUAUGUCCAGCAUAAUUAAAACUAGUAGUACAUGUUUUCUGCAUGAAAACUACCACAACCCACUCCAGACUCACUAGCUUGGUAUCACUAUAUCGACUUCACUCUUGACAUCAUCUUCCUCUUGUCCUUUGCAGAUACCUGGAAAAGCAUAUAAAUAUUAUCAAAAGACUAACCCAUAUAUAGUACCUCAGUGCCAUCUGGACUUUUCUCAAUCAGUUGCAUUCCCUCAAACUCCUUGCCAACAAACACUCUCCUAAGAUUGGUCUUCUGGGAAUUCAACGCCUGCUUCUUCUAUGAGAGAAGUUUUUCAUAUUGUUCUAGAGUCAUGAGUGCAGCUUCCUAAAUGACAAUAAGUGCAGUGUGACGAGAAAAAGUUAAUUAGUCUUUAAACCAAAUAAAAAUGGCAUCUUAUCUAACUGAGGUAACAGAAGAAGAGCCUUCAUUACUUCCUCUUUCUUUUCUUAUUCCAAUUCUUUCUUUUCUUUCAUCUCUUUUGUAUCCUCCUUUAGGUCUCUAAUAUCUUUAGAGACCUCAUCAUAAGUGUUGUGAACUUUAGUUUCAGCAGAUAUAUAGAUUUUGAAGCUUCUAAGACUAUUUAAGUAUCCCUGCUGAACCAUUAACACAGUAAAAACAACCAGAAGAUGUCAAUUCAAAGCAGAGCAUAACUCCUGAUUUACAAAGAAAACAAGCACUGAAUAAUCAUGAAAGAAAUACCACUACCUGAUUUGGAAGGAGAGGAACCAGAGGAGGUUUUAGAGUAUUCAACAGGUCAAUUUCGAGUUGCCAAAACAGAUUCAGCUGAUGUCUUACCUAAGGUGUUUGCAGAAACCUCAUCUUGCUGGUCUUGUUCCUUAGGUGUUUCUCUUUUUUUGUUCUGCUGGUUGCAAACUAUUUGUGCAUUCUGUGUUACUGUUGCUUCCUUAUCUUGCUUUUUAAGCUGAAGUUUUUGUGCUAGAAUGAUGGGGAGGAAGAUUCUGCAGUAGUCUACAACUGGCUCUGUGUAGACUGGUUGCUCUGUUUGUGGUGUUUGCAGGUUGUUUUUGUGCUGCAACUCUGUUCUCUUGCUGCAGUCUGUUGUCGUGUGAUGCUGCUAGUUGUUUAUUGUAGCUACUGUUUUUGUUGGUUGUGCAGCGUGUGGUUUUUGCAACUGAUGUGUUCUCUGCGGGUUGCUUCAAGUUCACUGACUGCUGCUAUAUUUCUUGUUGGUUACUGGUCAUGCUGUGACAUGUGCUGAUUUUUUGUGCUACUGCCUGCUCCCCUUGUAGUUGCUAGUUGUGUUUUUUUUGGUUUGGGUUGCGGUUUGCGCACCCUUUUCUGUAGGUUUUUGUUUCUUUGUUUAGUUUCAACUGGUUCGUACCUUUGGUAAUAAAGUUUUUAAUUUACCAGAAAAAAAAGAAAAAGAAAUACCACUACUUUACGGCCUUUUACAUUCUUCUCAAGGCUUUCAUCCUUCUUCACCUUUUCCUCUUGGAAUCGAAUUUCAAAAAACAUUUUUUCUUUGUUUUUCUGCCGACUUGUUUCUUUCUCUUACUAUUGAUUGGUGGACGGAGUAUCAUGUUGCUAGAUGCUUUUACUUGCGGUUGAGACAGUUAUUAGAUUUAUUGCUAAAAGUAUGUCAAUUCAAUUCCUUUAAGUUUCCAAUGCCCAAGGGUAUGCUAUCUUUAUUCUUCUUCUGAAAUCCCCUGCAGUAGAUGAUACUUCAGCUUGAGGGCCACCCUCUCCUAGGCUAUUGAAUAACACUUGAAGUGUUACUAAGGUUGUCAUCAGUGAUGCGCUGAAACGCCUACACUGUACCACGAGUUUGGAGGAUUUUCAUUCUGCGGAUAUUAUAAUUGAAGCAAUUGCUGAAUCAGAAGUGGCUAAGAAUAAGCUAUUUGUUGAGCUGGACAAGACAACCAAAUCUUCUACCAUCUUAGCAUCUAACACUAGUUCAAUCUCCAUUGCGCGGCUUGUUUCUGUAACAAGUCGACCAUACCAAGUCUGGAUUAGUAUUAUAUUUCAUGUCUGACAUUGGUCAAAAGCUUUUAACUCCACAUAAUAGAAAGAAAAAAAAUUCCAAGGUGGGGCAAGUUUGUAUAGUUUGAGAAUUUCGUGUAGUUGACUUGCUCAUUACUUGGCAUUUUACAUAGAAGUUACCUAGACUUUGCAUUUUUAGAGAAUGGAAGCUUGUGUAAUAAUAAAGUAAGUGAAUCGAUGGCUGGUUGUUGUAUAAUUUUCAUUGUUAAUUAGCACAUUUUUUAAUCUUUGCAUGAUUCCAUCACCAUGUUGACAAUGCCUGUCUUGGUGAUGUUUCUCUA